GCGCGCCAGCAAACGCCAUCACAGACGAAGUCCCAGUGCUUUUUAUAUUGUUAAUGGUAAAAUUGGGUCUUUAAUCACCAUAGAAACAUCAGUGACGGCGGUGCUGAUAUUCUGUUAGGUUAGAACUUUUUUUGCUCCGGCUUCCCUUUUUCAGAUCUGCACCCUUCGCCACUGCAGUAUAGUGCGU